CGAUGUCGGACUUGGAGGUUGUGCCCUUGAGCCGUGGCUUCCGGAGCUAACGCGUUAAGUAGACCGCCUGGGGAGUACGGCCGCAAGAUUAAAACUCAAAUGAAUUGACGGGGGCCCGCACAAGCGGUGGAGCAUGUGGUUUAAUUCGAUGCAACGCGAAGAACCUUACCUACUCUUGACAUCCAGAGAACUUACCAGAGAUGCAUUGGUGCCUUCGGGAACUCUGAGACAGGUGCUGCAUGGCUGUCGUCAGCUCGUGUUGUGAAAUGUUGGGUUAAGUCCCGCAACGAGCGCAACCCUUAUCCUUUGUUUGCCAGCGAGUAAGGCCGGGAACUCAAAGGAGACUGCCAGUGAUAAACCGGAGGAAGGUGGGGACGACGUCAAGUCAUCAUGGCCCUUACGAGUAGGGCUACACACGUGCUACAAUGGCGCAUACAAAGAGAAGCGACCAACUUGCGAAAGCAAGCGAAUCCUCAAAAAGUGCGUCGUAGUCCGGAUUGGAGUCUGCAACUCGACUCCAUGAAGUCGGAAUCGCUAGUAAUCGUGGAUCAGAAUGCCACGGUGAAUACGUUCCCGGGCCUUGUACACACCGCCCGUCACACCAUGGGAGUGGGCUGCAAAAGAAGUAGGUAGCUUAACCUUCGGGAGGGACGCUUACCACUUUGUGAUUCAUGACUGGGGUGAAGUCGUAACAAAGGGUAACCAAAAA
rnacentral:rRNA from 1 species